GCACAGGGGUCUGUACAAGGACGUGAUGAUGGAGAAUCACUGGCACCUCACAUCACUGGAUGGGUCCAGUAACAGAGAUACCCCAGAGAGAUGUCCCCGUCCUCUGUAUUCCCAGGAUUGUACAGAGAAGAAUCACAGUAUCCCACAGGAAGAUCAGGCACAACGUCUGUCUGAUAUAAAGACAGAAGAUACACAGGGAGAAGAAGAGACGUAUGUGACUGAUAUAAAGGCAGAAGAUAUAGAGGGAGAAGA